rnacentral:lncRNA from 1 species
UUAGCUUUUCAGACCCCAGAGAGAACUUCAAAAAUUGUUGUUGGGACUCUUUAAUAGAGUCUUCAAGAGCUAUCUUAGCAGACCUGAGAGAAGAUAUCUCAACAGUGAGAUUCUCUAUCGUUUCCUCACAAAUCUCAAGAGAAUUCUGGAAACUCAUCUUUUCAACCUUCCAUUUUUCUUGCUGGGAUGACAAGUCAGCUUGUAUCCCUGCCUUUUGUUCCUCGCUUUUUGCAAAGGCCUUUGUCAACACGUCAAUUUUUGACAACAUUGACUUUGAAGCACCAACAAGUUCGGUGAACUUUUGCAUCCUAUCCUCAUCAUCUUCUUCAUCCUCAGGAGGGUCAACGAGGCUAACUGUAGCAACGAAUGACACAUGUUCCUCAUUUUGAAUCAAAGAAGAUUCGGGGACAUACCGAGCAACGAAAGCCACAGUGUCCUCCUCUUGAUCAUCAAAGAAAUCUUUCUCAUCAUCACUCCAGAUGGCUACAUAAGCCUUUUGAGGCUUCUGAGAACGAACCUUCCUAUUUCCACAAUCCACAGCUCUAUGACCUCUACCUCCACAUUCAAAACAAGUCCCGUCACCUUUUUGAAUGGUCCUAAAGUUUGAGUUCCUAUUCUGGUUUCUAUCCUGAGGGAACUCCCCUGAUUUAGGAUUCCUAGGGUACCUAUCCUGAGAGGUCUCCCCAGAUCUGGGAUUUGAGAAGUUUCGACCCGGAGAGAAAAACUUUUUCUUUUUCUUAAGAAGGUUCUCAAAUUGUUUUGUGAGAAAGGCACACUCCUCUACGGAAUACUCAACAUCCUCAGGGAUCUUAACUUCCAGUUUGACCUCUUUCUCUUUGAUAGCAGAAAGAGCAAUGGAUUUCUCCUUCUUAAGCCCUUUCUUGUAGGAUUCAUAGGUUUUUAAAUUUCCUAUCAGCUCUUCCAAAGAAUACGUCUUAAGAUUUUGAGCUUCUUCUAUGGCAACCUUUUUGUUUUCAUAGCUAGGAGGAAGGGCUCUAAGAAAUUUCUUAACAACUCUACUUGGAGGCCAGGGAUCAUCUAGACUUUGACACCCAUUUACUAUGCUGAGCACACGACUAUGAAACUC